GUGGGAAGACUGCCCCCGCCCCCACACCACUGGGCCAGGUCUCUAUCUGCAAUGGGACGCCGGGGUCUUGCCAGGCAGGUUUCCUGUACUCUCCUGGCCGUUUGUCUCAAACAGAAAAACUGGACAUUGGAAAAGUAAAUUGUGACCCAAGAACUACAAAUGUUAAGAACCGAGUGACUGAGUUAGCAGCACUCUGAAGGACAUGGAAGGUUCAACGCUCACUCUCCCAGACUUCCUUGCAGUUAAGGAUGGCCAUGUGGCUUAGCCAAUGGGAAGCAAAUGUCCAUCUGCCAAGGAUGUGUCUCCUCUUUCUCCUUCUUCCUAUUGGGAUGCAGAUGUGAUGGUUGGAGCUGUAGCAGAUACCUUGUAAGCAUGAGGAAAAGGUUAAAAGCGCUAUACAGAUCUCAGUCCUGCUUAGCGACAACCACAACUUCCCUUUGGACCUCUUGCUGAGAAUCCUUUAUGCUUUAAACCACGCUGUU